rnacentral:misc_RNA from 1 species
AAGUCGUAACAAGGUCUCCGUAGGUGAACCUGCGGAAGGAUCAUUAACACGUAUCCAACGUUAAACAACCCUGUGAACUUGUUUUCAACCUUCUCCCUGGAAGUAAUAAAGGCGCUCCGGCGUCAGAAUAAUCCUUCCAGGCUACCCCCGAUUAACAAACACUUAUCACCUACAUUUUUGCUAGUUGACUUUAUCAUGUUAUUAUUCGUAAGGAUCGUAACACGUUUAUUAAUUGAACGUUAAAUUGUACAACUCUUAGCAAUGGAUAUCUUGGUUCUC